rnacentral:pre_miRNA from 1 species
GUUGUACUCCCUCCGUCUCAAAAUUCUUGUCUUAGAUUUGUCUAGAUACGGAUGUAUCUAAUACUAAAAUGUGACUUGAUACAUCCGUAUUUAGAUAAAUUUAAGACAAAAAUUUUGGGACGAAGGGAGUAAGUU